GGCAACCAUGGUUUUAUAAAGCAUUUCAACUUUUUUUAUUAUUACUUGUGGAUUGUUUCAGUGAGGGUUUCUUAAUUUAUUUUUUAAAUUAGCAAUGCUGUACCAUAUUUCAUGCAUGAAAUAAAGGUGCAAACUUACACACAAAUCAAAAAUGGAAGUCCUUAUCUGGGCAAAACUGGAGGAACAAAACAAAAUGGCAGUACUAAAGCAGAGGUUCCCACCUUACUCUGCUGAAGUUUGGUCACUGACAUUGAUAUCUAGAGGACUGUUGGUGCCAGUGGUCUUCAUUUCUCUUUAUAGGUAUUUUUUAUGUUUAUAGGUAUUACAGGUAUCCCUCAGAGCAGGACCUCUAUGGUACAUUCAUCAGCCUGUGAACCACCUGAAACCAGGACCCAGCCCCCUGCUUCUACCUUGCUUAGGGGUUCGUUACCCCCUGCUUCACUCCAUCCUUUUGUCAUCUAUGAAAAUCUGCCCCUGUACAGCAGGUCCCCUUGGAAGACUGCUCUCAUAACAGUACCUGAUUAGAAGACAUUUAAAGUGAAAUGCAAGUGUGGUACUGGUUCUGAGUGCUGCUGGACAUGCUAUAAUGUUGCAUGCUUAGGAAUAAUGUGUGGCAAGUGACUGGUCCCACAAACCCUUCUGCAGAUAAGUAAUCCUAUCAAAGGCGGUUGAGUGCAUUUGAUUAAGGAUUACAUGUGAUUAGUGGUCUGCAAGGUUAAGAGUACAACUUGUAUCAUUAAUGAGUAUUCACAUAUUAAUGCUGCUUUGAGCAGAGAUUGAACUAGAUGACCUCUGAGGCCUGUUCCAACUAGAAUGAUUUUUUGAUUAUCACACUUGUAUUAUGCAAAUAGAUACUUCCUUUAUAAAAAAACCCCAUUAGUUGGGUAAGUUAAACUCUAGUAAGUUACUGUUGUUGUUUUACCUAAUUGCAUCAUGUUGUAGCAUGGAGUUGCAAAUUUGACCCAAGAUUAAGAUUUAAAACAGUAAGAGGAAUACACCCAUGCUUUUUGUGUAUUGCUUCAAAUUCUUUGUAUACACUUUUAUGUCAGAUUGAGUUUCUUGUAUAGAAAUUAUUUCCUAGCAUAUAGUUGAUGUGUUCUAGAAUUUCUCCAGAGUAGAGUGCCCAAAAAUUUGAUACCUCAUGUGCAACUGAGACAUGUGAAUGACUUUAAAUUUACUCUGCCUAAUUCAGGUACCACUAGUACUGAGUCUGUGGUAACAAGGGCGGGUUAGCAGAUUGAGAAAGGCUUGAGGCCCUAAAAACUUUCCAAAGCAAGGACUCAGAAUGUGAGAGUGCAUUCCUAUAUUAAAAAAAAAAACAAACCCAAACCCACUACUACCCCAACAAACUCCCCCACUGUUAGAAUAUACUAUGUAGAAUCUGAAUAUAUGUAGGUGUUGAGACACAGCUGGUUGAGUUUAAUAAACAGUAAUCCUUCUCAUGUGCAGGGAAUCAUAUGGAUUUUCUUCUGGUAUCUGGAUAAACUUUUUAUCCAUUGACAUUUGUAUAAUUGUUCUCAUUUAGUAUUGUUUAUUACUUAGUUUUAAGGAAGAAGUUGGUGAUAAGAGAGGAAAUCUCUAAACUGCUGCCUGUUAAAGGUCAAUCACUUUCACUUGCAUGCAAUCAUAGAUGUUUUUGUAUAACAUUUUAAGCUCCCAAUAUUUGAAUUAAUCUCAGUAACGGGCUAUAGGUGUUGUCAUGGCUUAUUGGUAGCAGUGUAUUUCAGGAAAACGCUUGUUGUAUGCUUUUAUUUAAAAAUAUAAGGAAUAUGGUAACAUCACCAGUAAUGUGUUAAGGACCUGGCAGGUCUCUUUGGCUUUUAGGGAGUAUAGAAAACAAUUAAAAGGAAUAAGAGGUGCUAGGAAGGACUUAUCUCUUUAUGCUGCUUUUCAAGCAUAGGAUGUUGUCCACAACAAGGAUGUUGUGGGCAUUUUAUUAUUUUCAAAUAAUGUUGAUUGGAUGUUAUCUGAUUAUGGGAUUAGAAAAGCAAAAGAUGAAUGCUAGAAUGAAGUGCUAAAGGCUUCUAAGUCAGAAGGACUUGAUGCUAUUCAUUCAUUUAGUGGUUCUAAAGGAUGAAGUGGCUGAUCUGCUAAGAAGAAUGCAUCUUGUUAGGAUGGGAUGCUGUGCCAGAAGACCAGAAGCUGUCAAGUGCUCUACAUGCUGUACUUUAAAACAGAACACAAAGAGCAGAGCUGGAAUUUGCAGACCAUCCUGUUUAGUUCAUCCUACCUUAAAGUUGCAGUGUAUGGCCUUUGGCAGGAAAUUGUACUGCAGGCAGUUUUGUUAGGCUCUAGAAGUCGUCAUUCUUUUAUGCCAUUGUUGGGAGGAUGACCAGUGAUUCAGAGGUGGAACUGAAAGUUAAAGCAGUCCAGUAGUACACUAUGCUGCUUUCAGUGGCAGAGCUGUGAUUUACCUUGUAAUUUACACUCAGGUGGCAGCAGCAGUUUCUUAAGUGCUGACAUUUUUAGCUGCAAUUAUCUGUGUGGUCUUGUUCCCUCACUUUCCCUCCUGUUAUAUUAGCACAGUGAUUUGUACCAUCAUGCAGUGACUUGAAUCAGAAAAUUGAUCCUGACUUUGAGAGGAGUCUGUGGCAAGCAGCAAUUUCUAACCCAAGCUUGUUCCUCACUCUGGACUCAUCCUGGUGGGUGGCUCCACCAGGAGACGGGAUCAUGACCCAAGGAUCAGAACAAGCAGCAGGAGUGUCCUCUCUGGACUGGCAUUUUACCAGAAUAGAUGCUCAUCAGAUUAUGCCUCUAGAAUCUGUGACUCAUCUUGCCCUCAAUUCAAUUACUUCAGAUGAUGUGUAAAUUUUCAAUAAUGGCAAUACAUUCAUUCUGCCAUUUGGAGGAGCCUGUGCCACAGAAUAAUGAUCUGAAGAAAGCUCACUUAUUUGCAAGGAAGAGUCUUCAUUUGGGAAUUAGUACUGAUGCAGCUCAAGGGUGCUUUUUCAAGUCCAGGUCCUUGACAUUCAGUGGGAUGAGAAUCUCAGAACUGACUACUGGGGACUCCCAGGCUACAGAUCAGCAACAAAAACCUCCGACGUUUAAGCACCUCACUUUUCAACACAGACUGAUCCCUGAGUUGAGAACAUUUAUGCUAUUAAAAAAACCAUUUUGGUAGGUGUGAGUUGCUUGUCAGAAAUCCGUUCUGAAGCUUGAGUGCAAAGGAAGCAGGGAACUAAUGAUGAAUAAGAAUGGAUAUCUUGAGGAUAACAAUGGAUAUGGCAUCUUCAAAAGCUGUGGCAUUCUGGUCCUAGUGUCCUGCAACUGGAUUUGUUCAAAUGGAUCUUGAUAGCCUGGGGGCCUGACAAAGUUCAUGGGACACCCUGGUGACUGCAAGUUCUCACUCUGAAGAUCUGAUUGUAGGCCUGAACCAAAAUUUCUGUUUUGUUCUCCUGUCUAUUUGCUUCUUAAAUGAUGAAAGUUAUUCUUUAAAUGGUGUUGUCUUUGAGUCUUAUGCACAUCCACUUUAGCAGUGUUCAGACACUAUGUGCUUGGGAUGUUUUCAGACAUUGUUAAAAUAUUUCUGUUCUGUUGUGUGCCUAAACCUCAUGAUUGCUCUGAUUAUUGUGUUAGGUUUUUACAUGUAGUGGUUUUCUACCUAAAAUGGAGGAGACUGUCACCUGGGUUUUCAAUCAUUGUGGUAUUUCUCUUAACUCAGAUUUUUAAGUCACAGUAACUGUUGAAACUGUUCAGGUUAUUUUUAAGGAUGUAGGUAGAUUUGUUUAUUUUUUGCUGGACACAAAGUAUAAUUUAUUUUGCAAACUUGGCAGCCUAGUAUUACUGAAAGCUUUCAGUAUGAUGAUACUCUGAUGUAAUAAAAUAAGUAGGAAAAGACAUUACCUUUUACUAGCUCUACUGUUACUUUUCUAUUCUUGUGGCUGUGGUUACACAACACACAUCUGAGAGUGAAGAUUAUUUUUAUUUAUAUGAGCCACUGAAUACCUUGCUGUUCCCUGUCCUAUUCCAUGUUGCAGCUUCACUGAAUAGUAAAGUUAUAGCCCUGAUAGAAGCUGUAUAAAGGACUUUGAAAAAACACAAAUAGAGUGUGAGAGGAAAAAUAGAUGUAUUCUAUGUUAGUAUUUAUAUUGUAAUACUUUUAGAGCAAGUAUAUAGCAGUAUACAAUAUUUAAGAGAUUAAAAGAUCCAAAACUUUCUUUGUA